GUUUUGGUUCUAAUUUCUAAACAGCAAAAGCUGACGCAGAUAAACAUUACACCAAACAAGCAAACGAUCCCCAACAGAGAGAAAAAGAAAAGCGAGAAUUCCCCAAGGAAAACCCACUCCCCUAAUUAUCCCAAUUUCUCUCCUCAAAUUCUCAAAUCUUGGCAUUUCGGUCGGUUCUGAUUCGCUUUGAUAUUGGGUUUCCACAGGAAGUUUUAAGGAUAAAGACUUGCGUGAAGGGGAUUACGACAUGGCUGGUAAUGGUGCGGCCUGUGCAGAGAGGGCAACAAGUGAUAUGUUGAUUGGUCCAGACUGGGCAAUAAAUAUUGAAUUAUGUGAUAUUAUCAAUAUUGACCCUGGGCAAGCAAAAGAGGCCUUGAAGAUACUCAAGAAGCGCCUGGGCAGCAAAAAUCCAAAAAUACAACUCCUGGCUCUUUUUGCAUUGGAGACUGUGAGCAAGAACUGUGGUGAGAAUGUUUUUCAGCAGAUCGUUGAGCGUGAUAUCUUGCAUGAAAUGGUCAAAAUAGUAAAGAAGAAGCCAGACUUGAAUGUUAGGGAAAAGAUACUAAUUUUGAUAGAUACAUGGCAAGAAGCUUUUGGGGGACCAAGGGGAAGAUUUCCCCAGUAUUAUGCAGCAUAUAAUGAAUUGAGGUCUGCAGGAGUUGAAUUUCCACCAAGAGAAGAGAACAGUGUACCAAUAUUUACUCCGCCCCAGACCCAGCCAGUAGUUUCUCCUGUUACAUCAUAUGAUGAUGCUGCCAUUCAGGCUUCUCUCCAGUCGGAUGCAUCGGGCCUUAGCUUGCCAGAGAUUCAGAAUGCUCGUGGAAUUGCAGAUGUGUUGAUGGAAAUGCUUAAUGCCUUGGAUGCUAAGAAUCCUGAGGGUUUGAAGGAAGAAGUGAUUGUUGACCUUGUUGAUCAGUGCCGUUCAUACCAAAAGCGUGUCAGGCUUCUUGUGAAUGAGACUGCAGAUGAGGAGCUUCUAUGUCAGGGGAUUGGCACUGAACGAUGAUCUGCAGCGUGUGUAAUUUCUCGGCAUGACGAUAUUGUGAAAGGAACUACAACUGUAGUAAGAGGAGCAGAAUCUUCAGUUGUGCCACUUGUGAAUGUGAACCAUGAGGAUGAUGAGUCUGAGGAUGAAUUUUCCCAACUAGCGCACAGGUCAUCAAGAGAUAAUUCACAAGGACAGGGCCAGAGAUCAGCCAAUGCCAAGGCUGAACCUGUGCAAGUCAGCCCACUUCUUCCUCCUCCACCGUCUUCGCAAAGGCCAAUCACUCUAGGUCCUGGUGUGAUUGAUUAUCUCAGUGGAGAAGCCUACAAAUCUGAAGGAUCCUCUGCAACAUCAGAAUCCACAUCCUUUGCAGCUCCAGUUCAUUCCAGCUCCACCUCACGAUUGACUCCACUAUCACCCUCACCCCCUUCUUCCCAAAACACAACUCCAUCACCUAUAUUCACUGGAAAGCCUGUAUAUGAUGAACCGGCUCCUAGAAGCAAAUCUAUAGAUGGGCUCCCUCCUGCCCCUUGGGAUACUCAGUCUCUGGGGAAUCCUCAGUCUCCUGGCAAUGGUCAAUCUCCUGUCAGCCUUCCACCUCCGCCUUCCAGGUAUAACCAGAGACAACAGUUUUUUGAGAAACAAGGCGUUCCAGGCAGUGGAUCUGGUUCAUCUUAUGACAACUUAGUGGGACAGACUCAGAAUCUCUCCCUUAAUUCGUCUACCCCAACAAAACAAGUAAAACAGGAAGAUGCUCUUUUCAAGGAUCUAGUUGAUUUUGCAAAAGCCAAGUCAUCUUCUUCAAACCCGAAUAGGUCAUUUUGAGUUGUGCCCAUCAGCGUAUCGGUCAGUCUGGCUCUGGACCUUGUUCCUCACUUACACAUGAGAUCAUGAGAUUACCUGUUGCUAAAUAAAUAUUGGUAGGAACUUUUUCAGUUUUGGUUUGUCUAUGCUGUUUAGUUGGUAUAUUUCCGAGAUGUCAGCAGGCAUUGCAUAUAAUUUAAUGUAUUGAUGUACCUUAUUGUUUGAUUUCUUUGAUCUCGGUUUGUUUUUAACGGUUGGCCAAAUUUUUCU